AUUGAACGCUGGCGGCAGGCCUAACACAUGCAAGUCGAACGGUAACAGGAAGCAGCUUGCUGCCUUGCUGACGAGUGGCGGACGGGAGAGAAAUGUCUGGGAAACAGCCUGAUGGAGGGGGAUAACUACUGGAAACGGUAGCUAAUACCGCAUAACGUCGCAAGACCAAGGAGGGGGACCUUCGGGCCUCUUGCCAUCGGCUGUGCCCAGAUGGGAUUAGCUAGUAGGUGGGGUAACGGCUCACCUAGGCGACGAUCCCUAGCUGGUCUGAGAGGAUGACCAGCCACACUGGAACUGAGACACGGUCCAGACUCCUACGGGAGGCAGCAGUGGGGAAUAUUGCACAAUGGGCGAAAGCCUGAUGCAGCCAUGCCGCGUGUAUGAAGAAGGCCUUCGGGUUGUAAAGUACUGUCAGCGGGGAGGAAGGGAGUAAAGUUAAUACCUUUGCUCAUUGACGUUACCCGCAGAAGAAGCACCGGCUAACUCCGUG
rnacentral:rRNA from 1 species